CAUUUACUAAAAUAUCAACUUUUCUAAAUUUUUUUUUAAAACCGGCCCCGCAAUUGAUCACAGUCUAUACAAUCUAAGGCAUUCGAAAAAAAGACCGACCGCCCCUAGCGCAAGUGGCAAAAAGGCUUGAUGGUUGGUAACCGAGACCCAAGUUCGAAUCCUAGUUGAUUCACAUUUCCAGUUAAGUUUAUUUCUAAAUGAAAUAAACGAAUCGGGUAGCAUGCUACCUUUCUCUCUCUCUCAAAAAAAAAAAAAAAAGGCAUUUGAAAAAGAGACAUUACGUUGCUAAGUAAGGUAAAAAAAAUGCAAUGAGAAAAAAUACUACACUGUACAGAUAAAAGUAAUUCAAUUACCGUAAUCUUCUACGACCCCACCAAAAAACAUAGCUUAAUAUUUUUAUUUAUUUUCGUCGCAACUUUUUUUACUAGAAUUAAUAAAUAGCUAAUGCGUCUCUCUGCGUCUUGGAAUUCCCUGGUCUAUAGACCAUGUCUCUCUACCGUCUGUCCCUAGAGCAAGUGGCAAAGGGCUUGGUAGUUGGUACCCGAGACCCAAGUUCGAAUCCUAGUUGAUUCACAUUUCCAGCUAAGUUUAUUUCUAAAUGAAAUAAACGAAGCGGGUAAUGUGCUACCUAUCUCUCAAAAAAUAAUAAUAAUACUAAUUUGGGACCUUUUAUUUGAUGG
rnacentral:lncRNA from 1 species